rnacentral:rRNA from 1 species
AUACGGAGGGUGCAAGCGUUACUCGGAAUCACUGGGCGUAAAGCGCGCGCAGGCGGCUAUUUAAGUUGGAUGUGAAAGCCUACGGCUCAACCGUAGAACUGCAUCCAAAACUAUUUAGCUAGAGUGUGGGAGAGGAAGAUGGAAUUAGUUGUGUAGGGGUAAAAUCCGUAGAGAUAACUAGGAAUACCAAAAGCGAAGGCAAUCUUCUGGAACAUUACUGACGCUGAGGCGCGAAAGCGUGGGGAGCAAACAGGAUUAGAUACCCUAGUAGUCC